AUAUCAUUCUCAUUCACCCAUUCAUCAUCACAACCACAAUAUUAUCUUCUCUCUCUCUCCAUGUCUCUCUCAGACCCCCCUUGAAGAUAGGCGAGACUCAUGGGGGAGGGAUAUAGAGUGAAAAGAGAGUAAUAGUGAGUGAGUGAGCCAUGAAAUCAACAAAUUAAACCCUCUCUCUCUCUCUUCCUCUUUCUGAGCGGUUCAACAAGAGAAAAGGGCCAUUUGGGACGGAAGCUUUGUCUUUUGAGGGGAAUGUUGUCUGGCUCGAGGACCCUUCUUCAUCUUGAUCUUGUGUAGACUACUAUGCUUGUGGUCAAGGAAUACAUAGUGUUGUCGGACAGGCUUCAUU
rnacentral:precursor_RNA from 1 species